rnacentral:rRNA from 1 species
AAACCAACAGGGAUUGCCUCAGUAACGGCGAGUGAAGCGGCAAAAGCUCAAAUUUGAAAUCCGGCGUCUCUCGGCGCCCGAGUUGUAAUUUGAAGGCAGUUUUCUGGUGCUGGCGCCCCUGUCUAUGUUCCUUGGAACAGGACGUCGUAGAGGGUGAGAAUCCCGUCUGGCGGGGGUGUGGCCUUUGUAGAUUUCUGGCGACGAGUCGAGUUGUUUGGGAAUGCAGCUCUAAGUGGGUGGUAAAUUCCAUCUAAAGCUAAAUACUGGCGAGAGACCGAUAGCGAACAAGUACAGUGAUGGAAAGAUGAAAAGAACUUUGAAAAGAGAGUGAAAAAGUACGUGAAAUUGUUGAAAGGGAAGGGUGUUGGAUCAGACUUGGUGCUUUGCGAAUAUCUUCCCCUCGUGGGUUGUGGACUCGCACUGCGCUGGGCCAGCAUCGGUUUGGACGGCAAGACAAUGGCGUGGGGAACGUGGCACUCUUUUGUGUGUGUGUUAUAGCCCUGGCUGAUGUUGCCUGUGCGGACCGAGGACUGCGGCGUUUGUGCCUAGGAUGCUGGCGUAAUGAUUCAACACCGC